UGGGGAAUAUUGCACAAUGGGGGAAACCCUGAUGCAGCAACGCCGCGUGAGUGAUGAAGGCCUUCGGGUUGUAAAGCUCUUUGAUUAGGGACGAUAAUGACGGUACCUAAAGAACAAGCCACGGCUAACUACGUG
rnacentral:rRNA from 1 species